GUCCAGCUGAUGAGUCCCAACUAGGACGACAUGAACGUCCUAGAU
rnacentral:hammerhead_ribozyme from 1 species